rfam:Myotis brandtii contig231151, whole genome shotgun sequence.
AGGCCUGAAGAGAGAAGCAGGGUCUGAUCCCCAGCCUCUGUGGCAGCUGUUGAUCAACCGUAGCCUUUCUCUUUUUCUCCA